UUUCGCUUCCUUUUGGUUUUGAUUUUGGUUUUUUUUUUUUCCUGUUCUUAAUUUUGAUCUUCGUUGCGAUUGAUGAAUUGUUGGUUGAUUUUGUUGUUGUUGUUUUAGGGUUGUCGAAUCUGGCUGUGUUAUUCAUGUGUUAUUGGAUUGAUUUUUAAUGGAUUUACUCGUGAAUUUGUUCUAUGUUUGAGUGAUUUUUGCCAAUUGAGGUUAAUUGGAAGAAAUUAAGGGUUUCUUGAUUUCUCGAGGCUGUUUGUGGAAUUUUGGGGGAAUUGGAGAUGGAUAGGGGUUGCGGUGGUGGUUUCGUGGGUGCGGUGGUGGGUGUGGUGCGGAGGAAUUAAAAUCUCUCAAACAGAUUGGGGCCUCUUUUGCUUUGCAGAUUCUCAAGGAUGAUGAAGGACCUUUUAAUUUGGCUAUGGCUCAUUUGAAGUUGAAUGGUGACAAAAGACUUUAUGGAACUUUUCAGCCUGUUGGGAAUGAUGACUCUCAGAAUGUCAAGGGAAUAUCGAUGCUUGCUCGUGACCUACAAUCCCCACGAGCUCUAUUGUCUUGUAUGAUCAAGAUGGAAAAUUUGUGGGGGUUCGAUGACCAAACUCGAAACUUCCAAUUGACAUUGAUGGGAUAAAAAUUGAAAUUCUAGAUGCCAUAGGAAGUACAUGCCUUGAACUAAAAACUGACCCUGGAGUGCCUGUUGUAUAUGCUGGAUUUGGUGCUCUGAUGCUCACAACAUGUAUCAACUAUUUAUCUCAUGCACAGGUGAUUUUCUGAGCUCUUGAUUAUCACUCUUCAAGGACUUGUUACGCAAUUGCUACUUGGAUAUACUAGUUCAUAUAUUGAUAAAUGCCCUUUUCACAUAUGUGGCUAGCUAUCAUAUUCAAUUAGAGAAGUUUCUACUACUUGUAAAAGCAUUGUUUCUUAUCGGAAAAAUAGGAUGUAGUUGCACAUGUCUUGAUGUUCCUAUUGCUUUCAACCCGCUCUCUCAUUUGGAGUUCAAAUACUCAACAAACACUACAAGAAAACAGCUUGAUUCCGACGGAAAAAAUCCGUCGGAAACAUCGGAAAUUCCGUCGGAAAAUGG